AUGCCUUACACUUAUGAGUAAGGAAAAUAGCAAUUCAGGGUGAUCCUCACUGCUAAUGUGAGAUAAAUUUUUGAGCAGGUAAAGUUUGCCCCUAAGGUGACCUGCCUGCUUUGCAGGAUGCCUGGAAGUCGUGAUCUGCCUG
rnacentral:snRNA from 1 species